GAGAAACUUACUGACCUUUACUUCCUGCUGCCUCAUGAUCUCAGAGCAGCCUGAUCUUCAAGAUGUUCCAAUGGACAAACUAGAAAUGGCACUAAAGGCCUAUGUAAAAGCAGAAACCUCAGAGAAGAACAUGAAAGAGGGACAUUCCUUCCUGUAAGAUAGAAAACAGAGAACACACAGGAAGACAGUAGGAACCUUCAAAGACAAGUCCCAGUAACUAACUGCCACCAAGAAGUUCCCACAUCUUCUUUGUGCAUGUUGCUGUGAACUAAUCACAUCUCACUGGUACCAGGAGCUGAAAACUAAGUCUAUAUAUGUACUUCAUUUGCCGAUGGGACAUUCCUGUGUUCUAAACAAUAAUAAUUUGCAAACAACUUAA